UACGUAGGGUGCAAGCGUUAAUCGGAACUACUGGGCGUAAAGCGUGCGCAGGCGGUUAUGUAAGACAGAUGUGAAAUGCCCGGGCUUAACCUGGGAACUGCAUUUGUGACUGCAUGGCUAGAGUUUGGCAGAGGGGGUAGAAUUCCACGUGUAGCAGUGAAAUGCGUAGAUAUGUGGAGGAACACCGAUGGCGAAGGGCAGCCCCCUGGGUCAAGACUGACGCUCAUGCA
rnacentral:rRNA from 1 species